GAUGAACGCUGGCGGCAUGCCUAAUACAUGCAAGUCGAACGAACAGACGAGGAGCUUGCUCCUCUAACGUUAGCGGCGCGCGGGUGAGUAACACGUGGAUCACCUCCCUAUAAGACUGGGAUAACUUCGGGAAACCGGAGCUAAUACCGUAUAAUAUAUUGAACCGAUUGGUUCAAUAGUGAAAGACGGUUUUGCUGUAACUUCUCGCUGGAUCCACGCCGCUUUAGCUAGUUUGUAAGGUAACAGCUUACGAAGGCAACGAUGCGUAGCCGACCUGAGAGCGUGAUCGGCCACACGGGAAGUGAGACACGGUCCAGACACCGACGGUAGGCAGCAGUAGAGAAUCCUCCGCGAGGGGCGAGAGCCGGACGGAGCAACGCGGCGUGAGUGAUGAAGGUCCGCUGAUCGGAGAACUCUGUAGGUAGUGAGAAACAAAUGUGUAAGUAACUAUGCACGUCUUGACGGUACCUAAUCAGAAAGCCACGGCUAACUACGUG
rnacentral:rRNA from 1 species